GGCGACCGGCGCACGGGUGCGUAACGCGUAUAGAAUCUACCUUGUACUGGAGAAUAGCCCAGAGAAAUUUGGAUUAAUGCUCCAUAGUAUAUUAGUUUGGCAUCAAGCAAAUAUUAAAGGUUACGGUAUAAGAUGACUAUGCGUCCUAUUAGCUAGAUGGUGUGGUAACGGCAUACCAUGGCAACGAUAGGUAGGGGCCCUGAGAGGGGGAUCCCCCACACUGGUACUGAGACACGGACCAGACUCCUACGGGAGGCAGCAGUGAGGAAUAUUGGACAAUGGGGGCAACCCUGAUCCAGCCAUGCCGCGUGCAGGAAGACUGCCCUAUGGGUUGUAAACUGCUUUUAUACGGGAAGAAACCGCUCUACGUGUAGAGUUUUGACGGUACCGUAAGAAUAAGGAUCGGCUAACUCCGUGCCAGCAGCCGCGGUAAUACGGAGGAUCCAAGCGUUAUCCGGAAUCAUUGGGUUUAAAGGGUCCGUAGGUGGAUGAUUAAGUCAGAGGUGAAAGUUUGCGGCUCAACCGUAAAAUUGCCUUUGAUACUGGUUAUCUUGAAUUAUUGUGAAGUAGUUAGAAUAUGUAGUGUAGCGGUGAAAUGCAUAGAUAUUACAUAGAAUACCAAUUGCGAAGGCAGAUUACUAACAAUAUAUUGACACUGAUGGACGAAAGCGUGGGGAGCGAACAGGAUUAGAUACCCUGGUAGUCCACGCCGUAAACGAUGGAUACUAGCUGUUCGGUUUUUAACUGAGUGGCUAAGCGAAAGUGAUAAGUAUCCCACCUGGGGGAGUACGUUCGCAAGAAUGAAACUCAAAGGAAUUGACGGGGG
rnacentral:rRNA from 1 species